rnacentral:lncRNA from 1 species
UUCCGCAUACCACAUAAAAACACACACCUUUUUCUCUCUCCUCUCUGUCUUCUCUCUCUCAUUGGUAAUCUGGACCAGCUGGUACGAGGAAGCAAUUAAGGGAGAAAUGUGAUAAAAAUCAAUGGAUUCAACCCGCGAUUCUCUGGUAAUUCAACAAACUCAAUCUUCCCUUUUUGUUUUAUAUAUAAAUUUCUGGGUAUUUAUUGAUCUGUUAUGAUUUCUUCAGAGUUCGAGUUCAUUAACAAUCUCAGAGAAAAUAUGUGCUGCAUUUUUCCCAAUAAUAGCACU